rnacentral:Y_RNA from 1 species
GGUCCAAGUACAGUGGUAUUUACAACUAAUUGAUCACAAUCAGUUACUGAUUUCUUUGUUCCUUCUCCAUUCCCACUAUUUCACUUGAAUAGCCUUAA